GUGUCAGGGAACUGACAUCGGAGCUAGAGGUGGAGGGGAGGCUCUCUAAUGAUGCUGGAGAAGGGCCCAGCAGGGAGAGAGGCAGCUCAGCAGAUGGGGAAGCAAUUCAGUGCAACACCAGGAAUAAGGAGGGGCAGAUGGGGGAAUCGGAGAGAGGGCUCCCAGACUCUUCACCGGACACCAGCAGGGAGAGCACUGGUCCUCCGCUACCCACGCCCUCCCUGCGCAGAAGACUUCCGCGCAGAGAAAGUAGGAGGAGACUGGGUGUCAAACAACUUUUAUGUUGGAAAAGGUUUAAGAAACGCCCACUGACGGAUUCUGCUAGCGACUGAGGCAGCCACGAAUUGAAGGGCUGUCCAGACAGAAAGGUUUAACAAGGCAACAUAGCCAGGAGAGGCGGCAACUUACGCACGAGCAACCCCAUACCAUUAUA